UUCCGGUUGAUCCUGCCGGACCUGACUGCUAUCGGAUUGAUACUAAGCCAUGCGAGUCUUUGCAGUAAUGCAAGGCAUACGGCUCAGUAACACGUAGUCAACUUACCCUAUGGACGAGGAUAAUCUCGGGAAACUGAGCAUAAUACUCGAUAGAUCAUAAUGCCUGGAACGGUUUAUGGUUGAAAUGAUUCGUCGCCAUAGGAUGGGACUGCGGCCUAUCAGCUUGUUGGUGAGGUAAUGGCCCACCAAGGCGAUUACAGGUACGGGCUCUGAGAGGAGAAGCCCGGAGAUGGGUACUGAGACAAGGACCCAGGCCCUAUGGGGCGCAGCAGGCGAGAAAACUUUGCAAUGUGCGAAAGCACGACAAGGUUAAUCCGAGUGAUUUCUGCUAAAGAAAUCUUUUGCAAGUCAUAAAACCACUAGUGAAUAAGGGGUGGGCAAGUUCUGGUGUCAGCCGCCGCGGUAAAACCAGCACCUCAAGUGGUCAGGAGGAUUAUUGGGCCUAAAGCAUCCGUAGCCGGCUCUGUAAGUUUUCGGUUAAAUCCAUGUGCUCAACGCAUGGGCUGCCGAAAAUACUGCAUAGCUAGGGAGUGGGAGAGGUAGACGGUACUCGGUAGGAAGGGGUAAAAUCCUUUGAUCUAUCGAUGACCACCUGUGGCGAAGGCGGUCUACCAGAACACGUUCGACGGUGAGGGAUGAAAGCUGGGGGAGCAAACCGGAUUAGAUACCCGGGUAGUCCCAGCUGUAAACGAUGCAGACUCGAUGAUGCAUUGGCAUAUAGCCAGUGCAGUGUCGCAGGGAAGCCGUUAAGUCUGCCGCCUGGGAAGUACGUACGCAAGUAUGAAACUUAAAGGAAUUGGCGGGGGAGCACCACAAGGGGUGAAGCCUGCGGUUCAAUUGGAUUCAACGCCGG
rnacentral:rRNA from 1 species